rnacentral:rRNA from 1 species
GAUGAACGCUGGCGGCGUGCCUAAUACAUGCAAGUCGAGCGAACGGACGAGAAGCUUGCUUCUCUGAUGUUAGCGGCGGACGGGUGAGUAACACGUGGAUAACCUACCUAUAAGACUGGGAUAACUUCGGGAAACCGGAGCUAAUACCGGAUAAUAUUUUGAACCUCAUGGUUCAAAAGUGAAAGACGUUCUUGCUGUCACUUAUAGAUGGAUCCGCGCUGCAUUAGCUAGUUGGUAAGGUAACGGCUUACCAAGGCAACGAUGCAUAGCCGACCUGAGAGGGUGAUCGGCCACACUGGAACUGAGACACGGUCCAGACUCCUACGGGAGGCAGCAGUAGGGAAUAUUCCGCAAUGGGCGAAAGCCUGACGGAGCAACGCCGCGUGAGUGAUGAAGGUCUUCGGAUCGUAAAACUCUGUUAUUAGGGAAGAACAGAUGUGUAAGUAACUGUGCACAUCUUGACGGUACCUAAUCAGAAAGCCACGGCUAACUACGUG